UGUCUUCCCUGAGUGUGGGGAGUCGGUCAACGAAUACACUGAGCCAAACAAGCGAAUAGAUGCAUCCACAUAUGGAAUGAAGGAAACUGCAGCAAACACAUACUAAAAGAAGCCAAGGAAAGAUACUCUAGAGUGAGUUGCCUGCAAUGUUGCACAAGGAAAGGCAUGUGUGGUCACUCAGCUGCUGGAAG